ACCUGGCGGCGUGCUAAUCAUGCAAGUCGACUCGACGGACGAGAAGCUUGCUUCUCUGAUGUUAGCGGCGGACGGGUGAGUAACACGUGGAUAACCUACCUAUAAGACUGGGAUAACUUCGGGAAACCGGAGCUAAUACCGGAUAAUAUUUUGAACCGCAUGGUUCAAAAGUGAAAGACGGUCUUGCUGUCACUUAUAGAUGGAUCCGCGCUGCAUUAGCUAGUUGGUAAGGUAACGGCUUACCAAGGCAACGAUGCAUAGCCGACCUGAGAGGGUGAUCGGCCACACUGGAACUGAGGCACGGUCCAGACUCCUACGGGAGGCAGCAGUAGGGAAUCUUCCGCAAUGGGCGAAAGCCUGACGGAGCAACGCCGCGUGAGUGAUGAAGGUCUUCGGAUCGUAAAACUCUGUUAUUAGGGAAGAACAUAUGUGUAAGUAACUGUGCACAUCUUGACGGUACCUAAUCAGAAAGCCACGGCUAACUACGUGCCAGCAGCCGCGGUAAU
rnacentral:rRNA from 1 species